rnacentral:lncRNA from 1 species
GGUAGAGAUUCCAAACUAUAGCUUGUUCUUGGCAUAAGAUCAAAUGUCACAUAUUGGAUGCUCAUCACAUGUGAAAUACCAGGAUGCCAACUGCUUUUAUUUAGCCAAGCACCACAUUGGCCCUGUCCCAGAAGCUGGGGACACAUUCAGUACUCAUUCGGAAUUCACAGCCUUUGUUCUUCUGGUAAGAGUGCCAAACAAGAAUGCAAUCAACUGCAGACUUCUGCCUAUUCCUUAAGGUAUUAUGAAUGGAACCCAUUCCUGAAUCUUGUCUCUACUGGAAGAUCUUCAUAUCUUCUACUUUGCAUUCUAAUGGAUAAACUUUGUUUUCAGUUAUUUGUGGUAACUCUAAAUGUUCUAGAUGAAAUUAAG